UAGCUCAGUCGGUAAAGAAUCUGCCUGCAGGGCAGGAGACCCAGGUUCAACUCCUGG
rnacentral:tRNA from 1 species